rnacentral:rRNA from 1 species
UACGUAGGGGGCAAGCGUUGUCCGGAAUCAUUGGGCGGAAAGAGCGUGUAGGCGGCUCGGUAAGUCCGCUGUAAAAGUCCAGGGCUCAACCCUGGAAAGCCGGUGGAAACUGUCGAGCUAGAGUCCGGAAGAGGAGAGUGGAAUUCCCGGUGUAGCGGUGAAAUGCGCAGAUAUCGGGAAGAACACCCGUGGCGAAGGCGGCUCUCUGGGACGGUACUGACGCUGAGACGCGAAAGCGUGGGGAGCGAACAGG